AGUCCCAGUUCAGAUUGCAGGCUGCAACUCGCCUGCAUGAAGUCGGAAUUGCUAGUAAUCGUGGAUCAGCAUGCCACGGUGAAUACGUUCCCGGGCCUUGUACACACCGCCCGUCACACCAUGGGAGUCGGUAACACCCGAAGCCUGUAGUCUAACCGCAGGAGGACGCAGUCGAAGGUGGGAUUGAUGACUGGGGUGAAGUCGUAACAAGGUAGC
rnacentral:rRNA from 1 species